CACUCAGCCCGCUGCCCGAGCGGAAACGCCACUGACCGCACGGGGAUUCCCAGCGCCGGCGCCAGGGGCACCCGGGACACGCCCCCUCCCGCCGCGCCAUUGGCCUCUCCGCCCACCGCCCGGCAUCCAUUGGCCAGCUCGCCGCCAAUCAGCGGAAGCUGCCUGGGCCGCCUAAAGAAGAGGCUGUGCUCUGGGGCUCCGGCUCCUCAGAGAGCCUCGGCUAGGGAAUGGAAAUGUACUACCACACAUUGGACCAGUUCUUUCUCAGGCUGAUAACAUUACAGAAUCCCGUUUGAAAUCAAGCUGGACUGGUGGAAAUCAGAUUCCCAUAUCCUCUCAUAAGCUGUUUGUCGAGGUAAAUCCCCUACAUUUUAAAAACACGACUUCCCAGGGCUAGAUGGGAAAAUAAGAGGCUUUGGACCUAUCAACAGAACCAAUUAUACAGAUGUCUUCAUUUCCUCAAAUGGUCACGUAUGUGGGAAGAUCUCUCUCCUCCUUCCUGCUAGUCUUUCAGAUUCAAAUCAGGCGUUUCAUGAAUCUGCAGGCCGGUGGCAGGGUUGCUUGGGCUAAGGACAAAACAGUAUUGAUGCAGUUCUCAGCACAGCCUUGUUUAUGUUUUGAUUAAGCUAAUAGGAAGCUCCGACCUCUUAGCCCUGCUAAUGUUUGAUAGAGUCCUGUUAUACAUUCUUAGAACAUAUAUUCCUGCAUAUAUUCUUCUGUCACAUAAGACCAGUGUUUUAAAAACUGAGAGUUGGGAGGAGAAAGGGCGAGUCUGUGAACCUCCUGUCACCUUUCCUCAAAAUUGCUUUCAGCCACUCUGUUUUUCUUUCCUUCUUUCAAACUCAUGAUCAUCUUAUAGGCAAUAAUCUACCAACCUUCUUUACUAGUCAACCAACUUAAUAAACCAACCUAGACUCAGGGUAGGGAGAUUUUGAGGCAUUCAGACCAUUGAUUCUCAAACCUGCUAAUUUAUUGGCACAAAAGACCCCACAAUACACCUAACCCAUCCGUUCCAUUUCUCGUGUGAAAAGAAUUUGAUGAUAACAAAGAAUUAGAGAGGAACAAAAUAGGAACUCAAAACGGCAACAUCAUAAUGUUUAUGCAUCAACAAAAUGAUCCAAAACAGAAAAACAACAAUAUUUGACAUGUGAAAUAACACAUACAAGAAGGACUGUAUUUGAAACUCAAGACAUUAUGAAGUCCUUCCACCUUCCCCCCGAACAAGCAUUCUUCUUGAAAAUUGUAGAAAUUCCAACAGUCUACGUUGUCACAUGUGCAGCAGAAAAUGUGCAUCAAGCCUUCAGUGACAGCCAAAAUUUUCAGUAAUUGGCAGUACUGCACUUUUUUUGGUGAAUAUAAAAUUUUAAUCACUCUUAAUAAUUAACGAAGGAAGCUAUGAAGUAGCUUGUCAUAUGUAAAAAUGAAAGUCCCUGGCCUUGCAUGGCAUUUGCUCUAAGAGUUGAAGAAAGAACUUGCAUAUUUUGAUCUCUUUGUGGUUCAACAGGAAGACGCUAGCGGUCACAGCUAUACUUGGAAACGUGCUGGCCUAAAUGACUGACUUCUGAGCCUUCUCUGGUCUUGUGUUCUUGAACCUUGUAACUUUCUUCCAAGGCUUUGAGUAACAAUCUGAUUUCUACAUUAAAAUGAUCACUCUACUGGCGGAAGUAUAAUAAAUGAAUAAAACCUUUCUGGGGAGUAUUUGGUUAACAGGUUCAAAGUCUUAAAAAUAUGCAUCCUUAGUGACCCGGCAAUUCCACUCCUAAAGAAAUAAUUGUGAAUAUGAACAAAGAUGCAUGUACAAAGAUGUUUAUUAUAGCAUAUUUUAAAAUACUUUUUCUAUUAGGAAAUUGUUCACAGCACUAAUUUUAAAAUGUAGGGCAUAUAAAGUAUGUAUAAUAUAAUCAUUUUCAUCCAAAGAUGUAUGUCUAUUCAUAGAAAAUGGCUGGAAGUAUAUAUAAUACAAUGUUAAUAGUGAUUAUCUUUUUGUACUAUUACAGACUUUUCUCAAAUGUCUACAAUAAACAUGUAUUACUUCUAUAAUAAGAAAAGAGAUUUAAAUAUACUUGAAACGAAAAAGAUCACUUUGGCAGCAGUGGUUAGAAGAAUAUGAAUAAAGGAGAUUGGAUGGGAGGUUACUGCAAUGGUUUAGGGAAAAGACAAUGCAAGAAAGAACCAAGGAUAUGGCAGUGUGGCUAGAGAAGGAAAAGCUGAUUGAAGACAUAUUCAGUAGUUCUAUGAGAAUUAUAAACACACACCACACAUUCAAGUCAAUAAUAAAACUGAUCUUUUAAAAGAGCCAGCAUGAUUCAUCCAUAUCCUUAUUGUACCUUCAAAUAAUGCAUUUAAAUAAACUCAGAGCCAACUCUGAUGAUAAGGCUUUGGUUUUUUAGCUUGUUUAGCUAAGUUAAUGGAGGUCCAGCUGACCAAGAAAGAGAAUAUAAGAGGAGGAUCGGAUUGUGGAGUGAGAGAACCAGUUCAAUUUUGGACACUUGGAGUUUGAGGGGUUUGUGGGAGGUGUACCAAGUUGUGGGACAUGAGUCUGAAGCUCAGAUCUGGUCAGUAGAGACAGAACUAGAGAUCAUCAGUAUAUGAGUGAUUCUUAAAACUGGGUGUUGCCUGGAGAGUGUACAGUGAGAAAAGGGCUGAGCAGAAAACCUGAGGAACAGCAGUAAUUCAAGACAGGAUGAGGAAGUAGGUCACUGAGAAUAUUGAGGAGUGGUGAGCUGGGCCAGCCCAUAAUGGGCUAAUCCAGGUUCAAAGCCUGGCGAGAAUGACCAGUUGGGCAAGUUUAAGGUUGCUUUCAUCUAAGCUUACUACCAAAUCUGCAAGCAAGCAUUGCAACAGACACAGGAAAUGAGAAUGUAAGUGAGGAGUAGACUGGAGUUUCGUCUGCUCCCCACGGAGUCGUGACCUAAGUUCAGGGUUGGCACAGUCCCUCUCAAGUCUGAUCUGCCGCUCACUGCUCUUCAUGCUGGGGAAGAGGGCUGGCAGCCCUCAAGGGUUUAGGUGCUACCUCUGAAGGCAAUUGCUUGCCAUGCCGUAGGCACAUCCUCGUGUGUUCUCUCUUCUUCCUGCCUCUGCACCUGCACUAGGCUCGGCCAUGGCAUACCAAAAGUGGCCAGAGGGGUUCAGAGGGAAAAGCAAGUUAAGGGAGGAGAGAAUUUCAAGGGAGGAAUUGUCAACAAUAUCAGAUGCCAGAGAGGUCAAGUAAUAUAAGUGCUGAAAAGUUCCCACUAUGUUUGGCAAUUUAGAGGCUAUUUGCCACCAAACACAUAGGGUACCACGAAACUCAGGUUCCCAUGAAAGUCAUUUUCAUUCUCACAAAACUUAAUCAAAAUAUUUAUUUUAGCUAUGAUAUUUUGUUAUGGCAGCCUGCGCUGACUAAGACAUCCACCCUGCCAGACUCCUUCAUUCAUGGUGAUUUUCUCUUAGUGGCGCUAUUGUCUCAUCUAACAUUCUGACCUUUUUUAAGGAACUCCCUGUCCAUCAUACAGGACUGUAGUAUAUCACAAGUGUGGGCUGUGUUCAACAUCUCCUCCAUGGGGCUCUUGUGUCCCACGCACAUCACGGAAUGUGGCUUGGUACCAGUUUCAUCGUCCCCAAACCUUCCCAAAAGACCGAGAACUCUGCAAGGAUGCGACGCCAUGCACCCCGCUCCUGCACACCCCCAGGGCCUACCGCAGGGCUUGGCACACAGCAGGCAGGUGGGACGCCUGCUACAGCAUGGCCUGAUAAGCGGUGCAUAGGUCCACUCCUGGGAUCCGAACCAGCGAACCCCAGGCUGCCGAAGCAGAGUGCAUGAACUUAACCACUACGCCACUGGGCCGGCCUCAAUGUAUUACGACCUUUUUAUGAGCCACGCUCUGCUGGCACAUGAAUCGGGUAUGGGAUCUGUCCUUAAAAGACUCAGGGUCUAGCUGGGGAGACAGACAGGGCCACAAAGCUGGCAAAGUCUGGGAAGCCCCUCCACAGAGACAAGAGCUGGGUGCUCUGAGGAGCACAGGGGCAGACACCGCACCAACGGGGAAGAUCUGAGAAGGCUUCGCAGAGGACGUGGCAGUUUUCCAGGCACACAAAGCCGGCGAAGGACAUUCCAGGCAGAAGGAAUGGAAUGUACAAAGAUGGGAAAAAUGAUGCACAGAGAGGUUGGGUAACUUGCCAAGUCACACAGUUCGUGAAGAAUGUUCUGGCAGCAUUGUGGAGGUGGAUUGAAGAGGCAAGACUGAAGACUUGAAGAUGAAUUAUGAAGUCAUAACAGCUUCGAUAAUUUUGGUUGAGUUGGUCACUCAGUUUCUCUCUUUUGUUACUGUGGAAAGACCAGAGUAAUUGUGUUUUAAUAAUAAUAAUAACACAAUAAUCAUACCAGCCUACAUUUAUUGAGCACGUGUUAUGUGCCAAGCAUUGCGAUAAGUACUUUCUACACAAUUUAAUCUUCACAGUGAUCUCAGAAAACUGAGAUCAAGUGUAUUAGUUUCCUGGAGGCACCGUAACAAAGUGCCGCUGACGGGGCGGCUUGAACAACAGAAAUUUAUUCCUCACAGUUCUGGAGGCUGGGAGUCCGAGAUAAGGUGUCAGCUGAGUUGGUUUCUUCUGAAGCCUCUCCCCUUGGCUUGCAGAUGCCUGUCUUCUCCCUGUGUCCUCACGUGGUCUUUCCUCUGUGUGUGUCUGUGUCUGAAUCUCCUCUCCUUGUAUAGACACUAAUCCUAUUAGACUAGGGCCUACCCAGAUGACCUCACUUUUUACCUUAAUCACGUCUUUAAAGACCCUGUUUCCAAAUACAGUCACAUUCUGAGGUACUGGGGUUAGGAUUGCGACAUACAAGUUUUGAGGGGACACGGUUCAACCCAUAGAAUCAAGUAAUUAGCAUGUACCCGUAUAGUUAACAGGUGGGAAGCCAGAACUCGACCUGAGUCUGACUUCAGACUCCUGCUAUACCUAUUCCUUAUACUAUUACCCACAAUUGUCUUUAGUUCUUACCUUGAGGAGGAAAAUCGUAAGGUGGAGGAAGAAACUAAGGCUGCAUAGCUUUGCAUUUCGGAUCUGGCUAUCUAUCGCUUGAGGAGCAGGAAUUGAACUCCAGUUACUUGUUCUGCAUCUUUCACCUAUAACUCCAUCAUAGUGAUGUUUCUGGAAGGACAUUGAAAGGUGGCAGGGGUAGCGUAUCUGGAUAGACCCAUAAACAGGAAUGAUAAUAAUGAUCACAAUACUGUAUGAAUGUGUGUGCUUCGCCAUGCAGAAUGCUAAGUGCUUUAUACGCAUUGUUUAAUUCUCACAAUAAUCCUGUGAGGUAGAUACUAUAUGUUUCCUCUUCUACAUACGGGGAAACUGAGGUGAGUGGUGAGUUAACCUGCCCAAAUUCACCUUGCCAUCAAGAAGCGGCAGAGUCAAGCUGAGCACUCAGGAAGUCUGGAUCAGAACCCGUACUCUUAACUAUUAUGCUUCCACACUGCCUCUGGGAACCCGGUGAAGAACGAAUUUAUACCAUUUCCAGAAACAGAAUCCAAGUUAGAGAAGACUCAUAAGGCCAUCAUUUUCCCAAAAGUUUUCAGUUGCAACCAUCAAGAUAUUUAUUGAUAUAUAUCAGAAGAAAAUACUGAUACUACUAUUUCUUGAUUUAUCAAUUUUAGAAAUUGCCUAUUGAUUUGCUGUUAUCUGAGAUAAAAUUGCCUGUCUGUUACUUGCCCUCUACCAUUUCCUGCAAACUCCUAUAAUCAAAGAAUAAUUUUUUAGAUCAAUAUUUAUUAAUCAUUAUGUUUAUAUAAUUAUUAUCCAUUACAAAGCCAAAAAGCAUACUGUGAUUAUAUUUCCUUCCUUGUAUAACUUUUUGUUUUUCCUGGAGUUGAUAAUAUUUUUUCAUUUGUUUUACUUGCAUUAUUUUCUAUGUACCUGUCCUUUUCUUUCCUAUUAGAACUUUCAUGGCCAAUCAGCGGUUUUUCAUACCCACUCAAAUGAAUACACUGCUCCCUCUGGAGCUCUCCUCCUUGAAGCCCUCCUGCUCCAGUAUACACAGGUUUUUCUGUAGCCUUUAGUUAUUCUGGGAGUUCUCUUUGCUUCUCUUUUAGGUUGGAGCCUAUGUUUCCUGGGUUCAGUGUCCUGUUUUACUUUCUCGUUCUGGUGACAUGUUUCCUUCUGUUGCUUUCUAAGAAAGAGUACAUGGGAGAUACAUUUUCUGAGUUCUUUCUUAUCUGAAAAUGUCUUUUUUUCUACCCUUAGUCUGGAUUUGCAGUUUGGCUAUAUAGAAUUCAGGUUGCAAAUUAUUUUCCCUUGAAGGCAUUGUUUCAUUGUCCUCUUAGCUCCCAGGGUCAUUUUUCAGAAACCCAAUACCGUUUUAAAUCCUAUUCCUUUGUAUAUGACUUAUCUGUCUGGACACUUCUAGUCUGUCUCUGUGUCCCCGGUAUGCUGAAACUUGUCAUUGAUCUUUCUUCAUUCAUGUCCUCAUGAAUGAUGACUCAUGUCCUUCAGGUCCAGGAAAUUUUUCUUAAGUUAUUUCUUGGACAAUCUUAUCUUCUGUUUUCUUAUUUGGACAUUUAAUUCAAUUGAUUUCCUAAGUCUUUUAUCUUUAUAUUAUCCCUAUUAGUUUCCAUCAUCUUGCCUUUGUAUUACUUCCAACCUAUUAACUUUUUGUGUUGACUAUCAUUUUAAAUUUUCAAGGGCUUUUUUUAUUUUUCAUAGUCUCCUGUUUUGUUUUGUUUUGCUUUGUUUUGUAACUGAUGGAUGGAAUAUCUUCUCUUAACUCUCUCUCAACUCUCUGGGAAUAAAAUUGCAGUUUUUAUUUGAAGCUUUCGUCCGUUCCUGGCAUUAUCUAUUUCUUCCUAGUUCAGUUUUUUUUUUCCCUUGGUUUUGUCUUGGUUUGCCUUUCGUGAUGGAGGCUUUCCUCAACUGUCUGGUGAUCCCGAGUCAUCACUUCGUAUUUUAGAGUACGGCACAAAAGCUGAUUGGAAACCCUGUGUGCACAGGCAGCGUUUGUCAAGGGGAGGGCUUCACUCUUGAGUUUUUAGUGGGGAUCUUGUUGUUUUCUUAGGGGAAAGCCAAAUGCCACUAUCUAUUGUUUUCUUCCCCUGGGGCAGUUCAGUUUCUUAUGAGAAGAAUCUUCUUAUCUUCUAUCCAGGAGCAAUACAAAUUGCCUGCAUUUUGGGAGCAGAGUUGAGGAAGAGGACUGGAGUUCCUACUGCUCAGGACACACACUUGUGGAGUCUCCUCAUCUCCAGACUUUACCUCACUUCUGCUGGCUACUGUGCCAGUUAUACUGGAACCUAGGGCCUCGCCAGUUCAGAUUCCCCAGGGAUUAAGACUCCAUUUUCCUUCCUGGGUGAGGAGUAACUGCUUGGGUGUGGGGCAGGGGAUGUUUUCAGCCUUGAUUCUCACCCUGGUCCAUCCCCUCAUCAGGGCCUGAAUCUUUCAGAGCUUUGGUGGGACAAAUCAGUUUGCUUCUCAUUCCCCGCCCCCGUCCCCCACCUCCGCCCUUGUUCUGCUAUGAUGACUUCCAUUCCUCCAUGGACUUUCCAUCUUUUAAAAAUGAAUGGAAUAAAUGUCAAUAAGCACAUAAAAAGCUGUUUCAUAUCACUAAUCAUUAGGGAAAUGCAAAUCAAAGUCACAACGAGUUAUUAACUCACCCCUAUUAGGAAGGCUAUUAUCAAAAAGAAAAAAAAACCCAACAACAAGUGUUGAGGUGGAUGUGGAAAAAUUAGAACCUUUGCACAUUUGUUGAUGCGAAUGUAAAAUGCUAUGGAAAACAGUCCAAUGGUUCCUCGAAAAGUUAAACAUAGAAUUACCAUUUGACCCAGCAAUUCCACUUCUGGAUAUA